CCUCCCACGGGGGGCAGCAGUGAGGAAUAUUGGUCAAUGGCCGGAAGGCUGAACCAGCCAAGCCGCGUGAAGGAUGACGGUCCUAUGGAUUGUAAACCUCUUUUGUCAGGGAGCAAAGGGCGCCACGUGUGGCGUUUUGCGAGUACCUGAAGAAAAAGCAUCGGCUAACUCCGUGCCAGCAGCCGCGGUAAUACGGAGGAUGCGAGCGUUAUCCGGAUUUAUUGGGUUUAAAGGGUGCGCAGGCGGAUUUUUAAGUCAGCGGUUAAAUCGUGGGGCUCAACCCCAUCCAGCCGUUGAA
rnacentral:rRNA from 1 species